GCGCCCGUAGCUCAGCUGGAUAGAGCGCUGCCCUCCGGAGGCAGAGGUCUCAGGUUCGAAUCCUGUCGGGCGCACCA
rnacentral:tRNA from 1440 species